GGUAUUUUGACCGUGCAAAGGUAGCAUAAUAAUUAGUUUUUUAAUUGAAAGCUGGAAUGAAAGGUUGGAUGAGAAAAUAACUGUCUCUAUUUAGAUUAAUUAGAAUUUUAUUUUUAAGUAAAAAAGCUUAAAUAAAAAUAGAAGACGAGAAGACCCUAUAGAGUUUUAUUUUUAUUUUUGUAAAAAAUAUUAGUAUAUAAAUUAUUUUUAUAAAAAAUAAAAAUUUAAUUGGGGUGAUUGAAAAAUUUAAUAAACUUUUUUUAUAUUUAAACAUUAAUUUAUGAAUAGUUGAUCCUUUUUUUAAGAUUAAAAGUAAAAAUUACCUUAGGGAUAACAGCGUAAUUUUUUUAGAGAGUUCAAAUCGAAAAAAAAGAUUGCGACCUCGAUGUUGGAUUAAAAUUAAGUCUUGGUGUAGAAGCUAAGA
rnacentral:rRNA from 1 species